rnacentral:rRNA from 1 species
AGUGAACGCUGGCGGUAGGCCUAACACAUGCAAGUCGAACGGCAGCACAGUAAGAGCUUGCUCUUACGGGUGGCGAGUGGCGGACGGGUGAGGAAUACAUCGGAAUCUACUUUUUCGUGGGGGAUAACGUAGGGAAACUUACGCUAAUACCGCAUACGACCUACGGGUGAAAGCAGUGGAUCUUCGGACCUUGCGCGAUUGAAUGAGCCGAUGUCGGAUUAGCUAGUUGGCGGGGUAAAGGCCCACCAAGUCGACGAUCCGUAGCUGGUCUGAGAGGAUGGUCAGCCACACUGGAACUGAGACACGGUCCAGACUCCUACGGGAGGCAGCAGUGGGGAAUAUUGGGCAAUGGGCGGAAGCCUGAUCCAGCCAUACCGCGUGGGUGAAGAAGGCCUUCGGGUUGUAAAGCCCUUUUGUUGGGAAAGAAAAGCAGCAGGUUAAUACCCCGCUGUUCUGACGGUACCCAAAGAAUAAGCACCGGCUAACUUCGUG